ACAUUAAGAGCGGCUUGCGCAACAUUUGGUCUAAACAGAAUUUAGUUAAAUGUGUUUAUCUUGCUAAAUAUGUUUAACCUAAAUACAAUUAAAAAUCUCUUGCUCAUGUCCGUAUGGAUGGUAAUUUAACUAAUCAUAGUUAGAGAGUCGGUAAUGCAGUUUCUUGCGUUCCUUUUUACACUUUCGUGCGUUGUAGAUUUGACUUAGAGCAAAAUUGUUGCAUUUCUUAAAACAAAAAUGCGUAAUAUGGACCGACGAACUUUCAACUGACACAUCAAGUCAACCGAGCUGUCACACAUUGUGCUAUUGUGAUUUGUGAAUUGUUCUCGUGGUAUUUUUUAUUGAUUAAUAAUUAUUUUAGUUGAGUCAUAAUUACCAUGGCAAAAAAGUGUUUCUUCUAGGGCCCGGGGGCCUAAUUUUACAAAAGAAGAACUGAUAAUACUGCUUGCAGCGAUGGAACCAUACACCCAUAUUAUUGAGUGCAAAAAGACUGACCAAAUAAAACAUAAGUGAAAAGCAAAAUGACUAGGUCAAAAUAGCUAUUAUUUAUUGAAUAUCCAUUAAUAAAAGUACAUUUCCUUACUUGUUGCUAGUUUUUAUUUAUUACUAUUUAUUGAAUAUCCAUUAAUACAUAGAUAUCGUCACGCUUUUAAGCCACACAUUAUGUUUACACCCAAUUUUCACAAUUUAUGUUGUAAGUCCCAUAUAAUGUGUGGUGAGCCUAUUGCCUUAUACCGGGCACAUGUCCAGACUCCGUGCUACUACUGAGAAACUUUCGAAAAACCGAAAAAGCCCAGUAAUACUUUGCUCGACCCGGGAGUCGCACUUGCGAGCAAGUAUCCUUUAUUUAAGUCUAUAAUUAGGUAUAUAUAUGUAUUAAGUAUAAGAAUUCAUUAUGAAAUAAUUAUGUUUUAGACUUUACAUUUGUUCCUAUUUGUAUUAUUAAGAGAUUUGAUGUUGUUGUCAUGUUAUGUUUGAAUGUAAUCGCCUGAAACACAGGACUACCUAGUUCAGGCAAAUUACCCCUGUAAUAUGUGUGUUUAUUUUAAGGAAGAUGCUAUAUUUAAGUACAUUGUGACUAAGUUUUUGGAAAUAAACUAUUUAUUUAUU